AGGAGAUCCAGAUGGAACUGCUGGAGAACGUGGCUCCCGCGGGGGCGCUCGGAGCCGCCGCACAGUCAUAUGGAAAAGGAGCCAGAAGGAAAAACAGAUUUAAAGGAUCUGAUGGAAGCACGUCAUCUGACACUACCUCAAAUAGUUUUGUUCGCCAGAGAUGGAGUCUUGCCAUGUUACCAAGGCUAACCUUGAAUUCCUGGCCUCCAGCAAUUCUCCCAUGUUGGCCUCCCAAAGUUCUGAGAUUACAGGCAUGAUCCACUGUGCCUGGCUUUGAGGUCAACUUUAAACAGCUUCCAAACAAAUCCUCAGAAAAAUUAGUGACCCUGUGAGGUUCUCCUAGUACUUGGCUUGUCUGUGUUGUGUGGGCUGAUUUUGGUUCCAAAGAAUAGGUCUGCAGGGCAAUGAAAGACUAUGAAUCUGAGGAGGACCUUCCUGGGUCACUGGCAGAAGCAGCCU
rnacentral:sRNA from 1 species